GGGGGGUUUUAUAUAUGGGGGGUUUUCCGCCGUCAGAUGAACGCUGGCGGCAGGCCUAACACAUGCAAGUCGAGCGGAUGAAGGGGGCUUGCUCCUGGAUUCAGCGGCGGACGGGUGAGUAAUGCCUAGGAAUCUGCCUGGUAGUGGGGGAUAACGUCCGGAAACGGGCGCUAAUACCGCAUACGUCCUGAGGGAGAAAGUGGGGGAUCUUCGGACCUCACGCUAUCAGAUGAGCCUAGGUCGGAUUAGCUAGUUGGUGGGGUAAAGGCCUACCAAGGCGACGAUCCGUAACUGGUCUGAGAGGAUGAUCAGUCACACUGGAACUGAGACACGGUCCAGACUCCUACGGGAGGCAGCAGUGGGGAAUAUUGGACAAUGGGCGAAAGCCUGAUCCAGCCAUGCCGCGUGUGUGAAGAAGGUCUUCGGAUUGUAAAGCACUUUAAGUUGGGAGGAAGGGCAGUAAGUUAAUACCUUGCUGUUUUGACGUUACCAACAGAAUAAGCACCGGCUAACUUCGUGCCAGCAGCCGCGGUAAUACGAAGGGUGCAAGCGUUAAUCGGAAUUACUGGGCGUAAAGCGCGCGUAGGUGGUUCAGCAAGUUGGAUGUGAAAUCCCCGGGCUCAACCUGGGAACUGCAUCCAAAACUACUGAGCUAGAGUACGGUAGAGGGUGGUGGAAUUUCCUGUGUAGCGGUGAAAUGCGUAGAUAUAGGAAGGAACACCAGUGGCGAAGGCGACCACCUGGACUGAUACUGACACUGAGGUGCGAAAGCGUGGGGAGCAAACAGGAUUAGAUACCCUGGUAGUCCACGCCGUAAACGAUGUCGACUAGCCGUUGGGAUCCUUGAGAUCUUAGUGGCGCAGCUAACGCGAUAAGUCGACCGCCUGGAGUACCCCAACUGG
rnacentral:rRNA from 1 species